rnacentral:rRNA from 1 species
AUUGAACGCUGGCGGCAGGCUUAACACAUGCAAGUCGAGCGGGGGAAGGUAGCUUGCUACCGGACCUAGCGGCGGACGGGUGAGUAAUGCUUAGGAAUCUGCCUAUUAGUGGGGGACAACAUCUCGAAAGGGAUGCUAAUACCGCAUACGUCCUACGGGAGAAAGCAGGGGAUCUUCGGACCUUGCGCUAAUAGAUGAGCCUAAGUCGGAUUAGCUGGUUGGUGGGGUAAAGGCCUACCAAGGCGACGAUCUGUAGCGGGUCUGGGAGGAUGAACCGCCACACGGGGACUGGGACACGGCCCAGACUCCUACGGGAGGCAGCAGUGGGGAAUAUUGGACAAUGGGGGGAACCCUGAUCCAGCCAUGCCGCGUGUGUGAAGAAGGCCUUAUGGUUGUAAAGCACUUUAAGCGAGGAGGAGGCUACUCUAGUUAAUACCUAGGGAUAGUGGACGUUACUCGCAGAAUAAGCACCGGCUAACUCUGUGCCAGCCGCCGCGGUAA